rnacentral:lncRNA from 1 species
CUGCAGCGUCUUGGAGAUGCGCGCCUUGCUGGCCUCGUUGAUCUGCGUCUGCCGCACGCGGCCGCUGCCCGCCUUGCCCAGAUGGCCCAGGCUGAAGCCCAGGUCCUCCUGGUACGCGUCCUCCUCGAUCUCUCCGAAGCUCAUGCGGUUGGCCUGCUUGCGGAUCUCGGUCAGCCCCAGGCGCUCCUUCAUCUUACGGUACCUGC